CAUCUGGAGCCGUCUCCAAUCCUACACCUUUAUAGUUGGCUUCUCCUUGCAUAAGAGAGCAUCAAUCAAUCCAUGCUGGAUGAGCACGUCCUUCACCCUCACUUGUCAUAAAGAAAAAUUGCUCUUUCCAUCAAAUCUGUUGAUCUCCAUCUUAAUUGAGCCUGUCUUUUCUAUCUUCAAUCUUGAUCACCAUCACCACAAUCUAUGCUCUAGUACCUCCUGGCUCUAAUACCACUUGUUGUGCAG
rnacentral:lncRNA from 1 species